CGACUACAGCGGGAAGCCACUUGGCGACAAGGAGCGGAACCCGAAAAGUCGUCUCAGUUCGGAUUGGAGUCUGCAACUCGACUCCAUGAAGCUGGAUUCGCUAGUAAUCGCGCAUCAGCCAUGGCGCGGUGAAUACGUUCCCGGGCCUUGUACACACCGCCCGUCACACCAUGGGAGUCGGUAACACCCGAAGCCUGUAGUCUAACCGCAAGGAGCGUCCUAAGGCAAUACCGGUGACUGGGGCUAAGUCGUAACAAGGUAAC
rnacentral:rRNA from 1 species